rnacentral:rRNA from 1 species
UACAGAGGUCCCAAGCGUUGUUCAGAUUCAUUGGGCGUAAAGGGUGCGUAGGCGGCGCGGUAAGUCGGGUGUGAAAUCUCGGAGCUUAACUCCGAAACUGCAUUCGAUACUGCCGUGCUUGAGGACUGGAGAGGAGACUGGAAUUUACGGUGUAGCGGUGAAAUGCGUAGAUAUCGUAAGGAAGACCAGUGGCGAAGGCGGGUCUCUGGACAGUUCCUGACGCUGAGGCACGAAGGUCAGGGGAGCAAACGGG